rnacentral:rRNA from 1 species
CCUACGUGCGGCAGCAGUGGGGAAUAUUGGACAAUGGGCGAAAGCCUGAUCCAGCCAUGCCGCGUGUGUGAAGAAGGCCUUCGGGUUGUAAAGCACUUUCAGUGGGGAAGAAAGCCUUGGGGCUAAUACCCUCGAGGAAGGACAUCACCCACAGAAGAAGCACCGGCUAACUCCGUGCCAGCAGCCGCGGUAAUACGGAGGGUGCGAGCGUUAAUCGGAAUUACUGGGCGUAAAGCGCGCGUAGGCGGUCUGAUAAGCCGGUUGUGAAAGCCCCGGGCUCAACCUGGGAACGGCAUCCGGAACUGUCAGGCUAGAGUGCAGGAGAGGAAGGUAGAAUUCCCGGUGUAGCGGUGAAAUGCGUAGAGAUCGGGAGGAAUACCAGUGGCGAAGGCGGCCUUCUGGACUGACACUGACACUGAGGUGCGAAAGCGUGGGUAGCAAACAGGAUUAGAUACCCUUGUAGUC